rnacentral:rRNA from 1 species
UACGAAGGGAGCUAGCGUUGUUCGGAAUUACUGGGCGUAAAGCGCACGUAGGCGGGCUGAUAAGUCAGGGGUGAAAUCCCGAGGCUCAACCUCGGAACUGCCUUUGAUACUGUUAGUCUUGUGAUCGGGAGAGGUGAGUGGAAUUCCUAGUGUAGAGGUGAAAUUCGUAGAUAUUAGGAAGAACACCAGUGGCGAAGGCGGCUCACUGGCCCGAUACUGAUGCUUAGGUGCGAAAGCGUGGGGAGCACACAGG